GACCAGACUCCUACGGGAGGCAGCAGUGGGGAAUAUUGCACAAUGGGGGAAACCCUGAUGCAGCGACGCCGCGUGAGCGAUGAAGUAUUUCGGUAUGUAAAGCUCUCUCAGCAGGGAAGAAGAUGACGGUACCUGACUAAGAAGCCCCGGCUAACUACGUGCCAGCAGCCGCGGUAAUACGUAGGGGGCAAGCGUUAUCCGGAUUUACUGGGUGUAAAGGGAGCGUAGACGGCGAUGCAAGCCAGAUGUGAAAGCCCGGGGCUCAACCCCGGGACUGCAUUUGGAACUGUGUGGCUGGAGUGUCGGAGAGGCAGGCGGAAUUCCUAGUGUAGCGGUGAAAUGCGUAGAUAUUAGGAGGAACACCAGUGGCGAAGGCGGCCUGCUGGACGAUGACUGACGUUGAGGCUCGAAAGCGUGGGGAGCAAACAGGAUUAGAUACCCGAGUA
rnacentral:rRNA from 1 species